GAUGAACGCUGGCGGCGUGCCUAAUACAUGCAAGUAGAACGCUGAAGCUUGGUGCUUGCACCGAGCGGAUGAGUUGCGAACGGGUGAGUAACGCGUAGGUAACCUGCCUCUUAGCGGGGGAUAACUAUUGGAAACGAUAGCUAAUACCGCAUAAAAGUCGAUAUCGCAUGAUAUUGAUUUGAAAGGUGCAAAUGCAUCACUAAGAGAUGGACCUGCGUUGUAUUAGCUAGUUGGUGAGGUAACGGCUCACCAAGGCGACGAUACAUAGCCGACCUGAGAGGGUGAUCGGCCACACUGGGGCUGAGACACGGCCCAGACUCCUACGGGAGGCAGCAGUAGGGAAUCUUCGGCAAUGGGGGCAACCCUGACCGAGCAACGCCGCGUGAGUGAAGAAGGUUUUCGGAUCGUAAAGCUCUGUUGUAAGAGAAGAACGAGUGUGAGAGUGGAAAGUUCACACUGUGACGGUAACUUACCAGAAAGGGACGGCUAACUACGUG
rnacentral:rRNA from 1 species